rnacentral:rRNA from 1 species
UACGUAGGGGGCUAGCGUUGUCCGGAAUCAUUGGGCGUAAAGAGCGCGUAGGCGGCUAGAUAAGUCCGGUGUGAAAGUCACAGGCUCAACCUGUGAAUGCCGCUGGAAACUGUCUGGCUAGAGUCCGGAAGGGGCGAGUGGAAUUCCUGGUGUAGCGGUGAAAUGCGCAGAUAUCGGGAGGAACACCAAUGGCGAAGGCAGCUUGCUGGGACGGUACUGACGCUGAGGCGCGAAAGCGUGGGGAGCAAACAGG